rnacentral:misc_RNA from 1 species
AAAUCACUAAAGAAUGAAGUUAUUACUCACAGCAGCAAGUCUGUUCUUAUGGCUGACUGAAGUGUAUCCUGCGAGUCGCGCACUACCCUUCAACACGGAUGAACGGAAUGAUCAAGUUCAGUUUUACGGAAUGCCUGGAAGUGAUACCAAAGACAUGGCACUGUGGUUAUUCGACCUGCUGCAAAAAAACGAUCACGUUCAGAUCAAAAGGAACUCAGAAAUAAUCAACUCUCUCCUUGGGUUGCCCAAAGUUCUCAACGAUGCCGGACGUUAAGAAAAAUGGAUCGGACAACUUUAUUUUGAUAACCGUUGCACAUGCACAUUGUAGAAAAUUAUUUCAUUUACUAAUCAAUUUUAAUUACAACGUUCUACUUCACAAAUAAAAAUUAUAUCAAAUCAAAUUCAAUGUUUUUUCUUUUUAUAUAAACAACACAACUUUGGUUUAUGCUUUAUAAUUGAAGUGAAUUAAAAUUUUGUAAUUAAACUAAUGAUGUUGGUGUAAUUUUCUUAUAGCAAGAACUCAGUAGAAAUGUUAUAGUAGGCAAGGUUAAUUUAAUUUUUUUUUUUUAAUUUUAACAUUUUUUAAUUGAAUUGUUUAAUUUUAAUUUAACCUUACGUCAAUUUAAUUUUAAUUAAAUUAUUUAUUUUUAUUAAUGAAGGAUGACCAUUUUGGUAAAUCGAGGCGAUCAGAUGGCCAGUCAGAGAAAUUUUAAUCUGUAUUUUUUAAAUGUUAUGUAUUGAACGAUUUAUUAAAAAAAAGGACGUUUUUACAGUGAUGAACCGAUUAUGUAAUUCUAUUGUAGUAAGGCAGAUUAGUGGGAUAGGUUUAAAGUCCAUUAAUAAAAAUCUUUACUUAGAACAGUUAUAAUGAAAUAGUAAUAGAUAAAAUAAAAUGAAUAGAAUGGAACUGUUCUUUUGACAAAUUUUUGAUUACACCAUUUACUUGCCCAUUAAAUAGACCAUCCUCUUACAAAUAGUUUUAAAUUGAACUUAAAUGAUUAUUUUCAAUUUCUUUAAAUUUACAUCUUUUAAUGUUAAUAACUGUAUGUUUCUCUUGGUUCAUCCCUUUUUACUGGUUUUGUUAGUAAUGUCAACAUGAGCUUUCUACUUAUUUCAGAAUGCCAAUUCCCUACUUAUAACACAAUUAUUCACAAAAAUAUACUUAUAAU